rnacentral:rRNA from 1 species
UUGACCUCAAAUCAGGUAAGGAUACCCGCUGAACUUAAGCAUAUCAAUAAGCGGAGGAAAAGAAACCAACAGGGAUUGCCUUAGUAACGGCGAGUGAAGCGGCAAAAGCUCAAAUUUGAAAGCUAGCACCUUCGGUGUUCGCGUUGUAAUUUGAAGAUAGUUUCCUUGAGUAGUCCUUUAUCUAUGUUCCUUGGAACAGGACGUCAUAGAGGGUGAGAACCCCGUAUGAUUUUGGAUACUACUCUUUGUGGGAUUCUAUCGAAGAGUC